rnacentral:rRNA from 1 species
AUUGAACGCUGGCGGCAUGCCUUACACAUGCAAGUCGAACGGUAACAGGUCUUCGGAUGCUGACGAGUGGCGAACGGGUGAGUAAUACAUCGGAACGUGCCUAGUAGUGGGGGAUAACUACUCGAAAGAGUGGCUAAUACCGCAUGAGAUCUACGGAUGAAAGCAGGGGAUCGCAAGACCUUGUGCUACUAGAGCGGCCGAUGGCAGAUUAGGUAGUUGGUGGGAUAAAAGCUUACCAAGCCGACGAUCUGUAGCUGGUCUGAGAGGACGAUCGGCCACACUGGGACUGAGACACGGCCCAGACUCCUACGGGAGGCAGCAGUGGGGAGUUUUGGACAAUGGGCGAAAGCCUGAUCCAGCAAUGCCGCGUGCAGGAUGAAGGCCUUCGGGUUGUAAACUGCUUUUGUACGGAACGAAAAGCCCCGGGUUAAUACCCUGGGGUCAUGACGGUACCGUAAGAAUAAGCACCGGCUAACUACGUGCCAGCAGCCGCCGUAA